rnacentral:tRNA from 1 species
AUAUUUCAAGAUGAAGCGGUGGCUCAAUGGUAGAGCUUUCGACUCCAAUUAAAUCUUGGAAAUUCCACGGAAUAAGAUUGCAAUCGAAGGGUUGCAGGUUCA